rnacentral:misc_RNA from 1 species
UAGAAUGCCUGUUUUACUUCAUUGUAUUUAUUCAAACCAAGGGCCAAUACAUCUGAAAUUCCAAGGAAUGAGAGGAAAAUUCUUUUAAUAGGGUUAACGGUCAGAAGCUCUCAAGCUUCAGUCAGCGGGUCAAACUGGAGCAGGGCUUUGCAAAACCAUGGUUUUGCCCAACUAUAGCAAAGGCAUCAUAAUUCUACAGCUAAUUUUUAUUAUACAAACUUAUUGCAUACAAUUUUAUGUACUUUAAACAUUUAUACAAUUCAUGCAUGAACAUGCAAAUUUCCAUGACUAUUGAUGUAUUUGAGGUAGUAAGAG